CAGUCGCCACGGAAUACGUAGGUGGCAAGCGUUGUCCGGAAUUAUUGGGCGUAAAGGGCUCGCAGGCGGUUUCUUAAGUCUGAUGUGAAAGCCCCCGGCUCAACCGGGGAGGGUCAUUGGAAACUGGGAAACUUGAGUGCAGAAGAGGAGAGUGGAAUUCCACGUGUAGCGGUGAAAUGCGUAGAGAUGUGGAGGAACACCAGUGGCGAAGGCGACUCUCUGGUCUGUAACUGACGCUGAGGAGCGAAAGCGUGGGGAGCGAACAGGAUUAGAUACCCCGGUAGUCCCUGUCUCUUAUACA
rnacentral:rRNA from 1 species